AUGCUGGAGGUAUCAGAAGUGCGAAUGCUGACAUAAGUAACGAUAAAGCGGGUGAAAAGCCCGCUCGCCGGAAGACCAAGGGUUCCUGUCCAACGUUAAUCGGGGCAGGGUGAGUCGACCCCUAAGGCGAGGCCGAAAGGCGUAGUCGAUGGGAAACAGGUUAAUAUUCCUGUACUUGGUGUUACUGCGAAGGGGGGACGGAGAAGGCUAUGUUGGCCGGGCGACGGUUGUCCCGGUUUAAGCGUGUAGGCUGGUUUUCCAGGCAAAUCCGGAAAAUCAAGGCUGAGGCGUGAUGACGAGGCACUACGGUGCUGAAGCAACAAAUGCCCUGCUUCCAGGAAAAGCCUCUAAGCAUCAGGUAACAUCAAAUCGUACCCCAAACCGACACAGGUGGUCAGGUAGAGAAUACCAAGGCGCUUGAGAGAACUCGGGUGAAGGAACUAGGCAAAAUGGUGCCGUAACUUCGGGAGAAGGCACGCUGAUAUGUAGGUGAAGCGACUUGCUCGUGGAGCUGAAAUCAGUCGAAGAUACCAGCUGGCUGCAACUGUUUAUUAAAAACACAGCACUGUGCAAACACGAAAGUGGACGUAUACGGUGUGACGCCUGCCCGGUGCCGGAAGGUUAAUUGAUGGGGUUAGCGCAAGCGAAGCUCUUGAUCGAAGCCCCGGUAAACGGCGGCCGUAACUAUAACGGUCCUAAGGUAGCGAAAUUCCUUGUCGGGUAAGUUCCGACCUGCACGAAUGGCGUAAUGAUGGCCAGGCUGUCUCCACCCGAGACUCAGUGAAAUUGAACUCGCUGUGAAGAUGCAGUGUACCCGCGGCAAGACGGAAAGACCCCGUGAACCUUUACUAUAGCUUGACACUGAACAUUGAGCCUUGAUGUGUAGGAUAGGUGGGAGGCUUUGAAGUGUGGACGCCAGUCUGCAUGGAGCCGACCUUGAAAUACCACCCUUUAAUGUUUGAUGUUCUAACGUUGACCCGUAAUCCGGGUUGCGGACAGUGUCUGGUGGGUAGUUUGACUGGGGCGGUCUCCUCCUAAAGAGUAACGGAGGAGCACGAAGGUUGGCUAAUCCUGGUCGGACAUCAGGAGGUUAGUGCAAUGGCAUAAGCCAGCUUGACUGCGAGCGUGACGGCGCGAGCAGGUGCGAAAGCAGGUCAUAGUGAUCCGGUGGUUCUGAAUGGAAGGGCCAUCGCUCAACGGAUAAAAGGUACUCCGGGGAUAACAGGCUGAUACCGCCCAAGAGUUCAUAUCGACGGCGGUGUUUGGCACCUCGAUGUCGGCUCAUCACAUCCUGGGGCUGAAGUAGGUCCCAAGGGUAUGGCUGUUCGCCAUUUAAAGUGGUACGCGAGCUGGGUUUAGAACGUCGUGAGACAGUUCGGUCCCUAUCUGCCGUGGGCGCUGGAGAACUGAGGGGGGCUGCUCCUAGUACGAGAGGACCGGAGUGGACGCAUCACUGGUGUUCGGGUUGUCAUGCCAAUGGCACUGCCCGGUAGCUAAAUGCGGAAGAGAUAAGUGCUGAAAGCAUCUAAGCACGAAACUUGCCCCGAGAUGAGUUCUCCCUGACCCUUUAAGGGUCCUGAAGGAACGUUGAAGACGACGACGUUGAUAGGCCGGGUGUGUAAGCGCAGCGAUGCGUUGAGCUAACCGGUACUAAUGAACCGUGAGGCUUAACCUU
rnacentral:rRNA from 3 species